rnacentral:lncRNA from 1 species
GGGGGACACAGGGAUACAAGGACGUGAGACAUGGGACAUAGGGACACGGGGACACAGGGAUACGAGGACGUGAGACAUGGGACAUAGGGACACGGGGACACAGGGAUACGAGGAUGUGAGACAUGGGACAUGGGGACACAGGGACAUGGGGACACAAGGAUGUGAGACAUGGGACAUGGGGACACGAGGAUAUGGGGAUGCAGGGACAUGGGGACAUGAGACAUGGGACGUGGGAACACAGGGAUGUGGGGACAUGGGAACACAGGGAUGUGGAGACACAGGGAUGUGGGGACACAGGGACAUGGGGACACAGGGAUGUGGGGACACAGGGACAUGGGGACACAGGGACAUGGAGACACAGGGAUGUGCAGACAUGGGGACAUGAGGAUGUGGGGAGACAGGGACGUGGGGACAGGGGGACGUGGGGAUGUGGGACAUGGGGACAUGGGGAUGUGGGAGUCAUGGGGACAUGGGGGCAGGGGGACACAAGGAUGUGGGACAUGGGGACACAGAGACACAGGGACAUGGGGACAUGGGGAUGUGCAGACAUGGGGACAUGAGGAUGUGGGGGUCAUGGGGACACGGGGACAUGGGGACACGGGGACAUGGGGACACAGGGACAUGAGGAUGUGGGGGUCAUGGGGACACAGGGACAUGGGGACACAGGG